rnacentral:rRNA from 1 species
CCAUGCCGCGUGAAGGAUGAAGGCUUCUGGGUUGUAAACUUCUUUUAUAUAGGAAGGAAAAGGUCAUGCGUGACCAAUUGACGGUACUAUAUGAAUAAGCACCGGCUAACUCCGUGCCAGCAGCCGCGGUAAUACGGAGGGUGCAAGCGUUGUCCGGAUUUAUUGGGUUUAAAGGGUGCGUAGGCGGUACGCUAAGUCAGUGGUGAAAUCCCGCAGCUCAACUGCGGAACUGCCAUUGAUACUGGCGUACUUGAGUACAGACGAGGUAGGCGGAAUUUAUGGUGUAGCGGUGAAAUGCAUAGAUACCAUAAAGAACACCGAUAGCGAAGGCAGCUUACUAGACUGUAACUGACGCUGAGGCACGAAAGCGUGGGGACGACAGGAUUAGAUACCCUGGUAGUCCACGCCGUAAACGAUGAUCCUCGAUGUGUGCGAUAAACUGUACGCGUCCAAGCGAAACGUUAAGUGA